rnacentral:tRNA from 1 species
UAAUUAAAACCAAAAAGAGGUAUAUCACUGUUAAUGAUAAAAUUGGAUCAUUCCUAAUUAAAG